rnacentral:misc_RNA from 1 species
AACGCACAUUGCGCCCUCUGGUAUUCCGGGGGGCAUGCCUGUUCGAGCGUCAUUAUGACCAAUCACGCAAGUGGUAUUGGGGCUUGCCGUCGGCAUCCCUUAAAAUCAGUGGCAGUGCUAUAGGCUCUCAGCGCAGUAAUUAUUUCGCUCUCGAGUCCUAGACCCACCCGCCAAAACCCCAACUUUCUUAAGGUUGACCUCGGAUCAGGUAGGGAUACCCGCUGAACUUAA